rnacentral:lncRNA from 1 species
AGUUGUGCUGUCCAGGGAUCCCGCCAAGCUGUGACAAAACAAGAAACAACAGCAAGACACCAAAACAAAACAAAACCAACACAUCCAUAACCAAGGGGAGGAUGGGUGGGAAUUUUCACCAGAUUCCCUUCAGAGUCUCUGCUGACUGGUAAGUCUCCUCCCCACUGCUCUCCCCAAACCCCUUUUCUUUGCCACAAAUUAUCCAAUUUAGGCCAGCCAUGAUCCCCCUUCCAAAGGUGUACAGGGGGAAACUCAUUGGUGAGGUACUGAAUAUGCUGGUGUUACAUGCCAGAUGUAAAGAUAUGAGUUUGGGAUGGUUGGUUAGGAGGGUGAAGUGUCAAAUUUAACUUUACACUAAUAUGCAAACCCAGGCAGAUGUAGGUUUUGGUUCUUAGUGGCUGGGCUAGCAUUAAUGAUAUACAGAGUCUCGAAAACAGAUUAGGGGAGCCAAGAAUAAGGUCAAAGAGUACAGACAGACACAAUAUCAAGGAAAAAGCCAAGGUCAGGAUUCCAGAGGUCAAGAGAAGUAAAACAAGCCGUAUUCAGUAACCAAAGAACCAAAACGGCAAAAGAAACUCACUCUUGGGAAGAGACGUAACUAGAAACCAUCUGGCCCCAGUGCAAAAAUUACCCUGGGACACCCCCUCCCCAUGUGUCCUAUGCCCACCUAGCCCUUCCAUUUGUCUUUCUUCCCCCAGCCCCUUCUUGUGCCUCAUUCCCCCUUCCAUGUGUCCUAAUUCCUCCCCUAGUCCAUUCCAUGUGUUAAUUCCCCUCCAGUCCCUUUCAUGUAUCUCAAUACACCGCCCCUCAAUGUGUCAAUGCCCCCCACCAGUCUCUUCCAUGUGUCUCUCCCCUAUUCCCCUCUGUACCUAUUCUCUCUCCUGUAGCUUGGCCAAGUGGACCGCUGUACCUGAUCUCACAGGAAGUGAGCAAUUUCUGUCAGACAGGGUAGAGGGAAACAGAGGCCCCUCUACCUGCAGUCCACUUGACCAUGCUAUUUGUUUUGUGAUCAGCAGGAGGGGAGCGCUGUCACUCUGUGAUCAUGGCCCCCCCGGGCCAUGUACUGACCCUGAAAUGAUCGAGGCCCCCGGUCGCUGGGGUCGGCCAAGCCCCCUGGAGUGAAUGGCACAGCCGCAGCUGCGACCCCUGCCACUGUGGUAGUUAUGCCACUGCUCUUGGAUAUACAGGAACCCUGACAGGACAAGAAACCAUAGGAAACCCAGAAGUAUAUAUAAGCUAAGGUUGAAUUCUAUUGGUUUACACCACACCUGCAACUCCAGAAUGUGCAUGAUCCAAGACACAAAUUCCAAGACUCAGCAUGUUACUCAGUGGCGACUAGUAAAGCUUUAAGAUUUUGGGGUGUCAGACUUCUCCCCCAGAAUUUUACUCCUCCCUAUACAGUACAGAGAUAAUCAUAUAAUACAGAGAACUGAAAGAUGAUGCUACAAAGAUGAUCAUACCACAAACAAUGCUGAGAAAAACUAGAGAUAUAAUACACAGAGCUGGGCAUAAUAUAAACAUUGCAAUACAAUAUACAGAUCUGUGUAGACUACAGAGAUAACCAUGCAACAGGUAGAACCAAAUAAAAUACAGAGAAAUAUUGCACAGAGCUAGGCACAAUAAGGAGAUAUCAUGGAGAGAAAAAAACAGGUCGCAAGAGUAUUCUGAGAACUGACAGCAACUGAAAUAGCCUGCCCUUCGGUGGGUCCCCGCUCAGAACUCAAGCUGGUUUUAGCUCAUCUUGUGCCAUUACAGAGAGGACAUAUCUGAAGCAUAUCAGACUGGUCCCACCCAUACAGGCAGUCCAGAUCCGAAAUGCCAGCAAGUUUCCUCUGCACGAGAGACACUGCAACCCCAGACAAUCGUUUCAGCCUUGUUAGGCAUCAUCAGUGAGGCAUAGCUGACAAUAAGGAGAUAUCAUAACUACCCCAUACAGCCAUGAUCACUUUGAUGAAUUACACAGAGCUGCAAUACAGAGAUUCCCAGACAAUACAUGUAUCUGCAAAAUGCUUUAGAUCUCUUUAUCUCUAUAUUUCAUAGUCCUCUCUUAGCUCUCCCUUACAUGAUCUGAUCUUCAGUAGUGCUCCUGCUAUGAUAACUUUAACUUUCUAUUAAAUAUUGCUGCUGUUAUGAAACAUGUUAUGAAACAUGUCAGCUACUGCAUAAGCUCUCAGUACACAGUGUGCACGUGGUUAAAGCAUCAAGAUAUUGAUAGACCCCAAACAUGUCAGCUAUUUCUGACUCACUAUUUCCUCUCAGCACACAGUGUGCAUAGGGUAAAGGCAGCAAUUCUUUAUUACCUUUGCAGCUGGCAAUAUAAUUAAUCUGCAGUGAAAAUAUGGAGCCAAGAAAUAGCUGACAUGGUUAACAGAAGCAACAAGCACUACAGUUUAAAACAGACUGAAAUCAGAAUCAGAUCAGUCUUCAGAGUCACAGUCCCAGUGUGAUUGAAGCUGCCGUGCCACUGAAGGCCAGCCUCCUGCCCACAAACUAUGGGCCUGGUACCAAGAGCCCCUGAAUGUGACUAUUGUCACUGUUGCCACGCAUCUUAUUCCCUCCCCCAUAGACCCUCAAUGCAUCUCAUUUCCCCCAUAGACCCUACAUGCAUCUCAUUUCCCCCCCGCCCCUCCAUGUGUGUCAUUCCUAACUCCUUCCCCAGCCCCUCCAUGUGUGUCAUUCCCAACCCCCCAUCCCCUCCACAUGUGUCAUUCCCAACCCCCCAACCCUUCCACAUGUGUCAUUCCCAACCUCCCAACCCCUCCACGUGUGUCAUUCCCAACCCCCACUCCCCUUCUGUACCUGCUUACCGCCGCGGUACCCAGUCUGACAGGAAGUGCUCUCUCUCCGUGAGCACUUCCUGUCAGACCGCUUGGCCAUGCUACACAUAGGGCAGGAGGGGAGCAGCACAGCACAGCUCUCCCCUGCUGCCGUCAACUGCGGACCCUAGGCACAGGCCAUGAAGGUAUGCAGCCGACCGUGGUAGGUACGCCACUGCAUAUGGGCAGGGCUGUGCAGAGCACUGUGUAGCCUGCUGUUACAAGCUGUGAUGGCUGCCUGGUUCCCCUGUCUCCAUGACGUCCUAUGCGACUGCAUAACUAGCACACCCUAAACACAGACCCUGUCUCUAUAUUUCUCUCUCUCUAUCUUUUUCUCUCUAUUCACUUUAUGUACUAUAUGCACCUUAAUAUUAAAAUAAAUCUUUAUGAGCUGUAUAAUUUAUUUGUCCAUUUUCUACCCAGGCUACAUAUUUUCUUUUUAUUGCACAUGUUUUUGCUUUCCUUUGUCUCUGUGAUUCAUUUCCUCAGGUUUUAAAUAUUCAAAGUUUUUGUUAAGGCUGGUUUUCUAAUUUUGAUCCUAGAGUAUUCGUCUGUAUAAAUAUUAAAAAUACUUUUGCAACUUCUUGUAUGAUAUUCUCUAACACAUUCUCCUUUGCUAAUUCACCCUUAAAGCAAUAGCAGACCUUGUACCUUUACCUAAUGUUCAUGUUAUUUAUUAAUGAUUAGCCUUGAUUUUUUUGUCUCAUCUUAUCUCAUUUUGUCUUAUCUUGCUAACUAGUAUAUCACAUCAGCACUUUAUAUUAUUGUGUACUCCCUUUAUUUCUUUGUUGUAUUACUAUUAUGUUAUUAGCUAUCAAGGUUAUCUAUAUGGUGCUCUUAUAGAUAUGGUGGAAUGGGACGGACUUAUGAUUUGGGACUCAUUGUUAGGGAUGUUUGCUUUUUGUAUGCGAUUGGAUGGAUGAAUGUUGGGGGUUAGACUGGACUAUCUAUCUGGGUGGAUAGUGAACUAUGACUGGCUUGGAAUUUGUGGCUGGUUGUGUAGCUGAAUGGCAAUGUUUAGGUAGUAGUGUAUUUCUGUGGGGUGCUAGUAAGUGCAUAUGAAUGAUGAGUGUAUUUGUGUAGAGGGCUAGUGCGUGAAUACAGUGUUGGUUUUAUUGAGUUCCAGUGUGUGCAUGCAGCAGCAUAUUUGUGUGACGUUUUAAUGUACAUGUAUAGUUAUUUAAUGUGCAUUUAUAGGCACUGGCGGAACUACCAUGGUCACAGAGGUCGCAGAGGACUGGGUCCAUCACUUGAGGGGGCCCAGUCGCCCUGUCGACCCCUGCAAACAGGGUGCCCACCAGCAUUUUGGUGCGGUCCUGACUGCGCGGAAAAACCCAUCUGAAAAACCCAUCCAUUGAAGGAUCCCAUCGGUAGCCCAUGCUCUUGGGGCCACCCGAUGGCAAUGGAUUUCCAGGGGCCCGGUCAGUACUGCGGCACUUUAAGAGCGCGACCGAUGUAAUGAUGUCAAAGCUGGGAAGAAGCCGUCACUUCCACCCAGCAAACAGAGCGUCACGCAGGAGGAGAGGAGGGAGUCAGAGUGGAAGCUCUGACUCCCAUCAACAUGAGACAGCCACUGGACCCCAGGUAAGUCACUACAUUUUUUUUUAACAGUUUGUGUGUGUGUGAUAGAGAAUGUCUGUAUCAGUGUGUCUGUAUGUCUGUGUGUGUCUGUAUGUGUGUGUGUGUGUUUGUAUGUCUGUAUGUAUGUUUCUGUGUGUGUCUACAUGCAGGGCCGAUGCAAGGAUUUCUGGCUACGUAGGCGAAGAUACAUUUUGCCGCCCCCCACCUUCUGCGUCUUCACCUAUGUGUCUCGUAACCGGCCUCUUUGUGUCUUUCUUUCUCCCCCACAGCCCCUUUGUGUGUCUCUUUCUUUCUUCCACCGGCCCCUUUCUUUCUCAAUUUGUGUGUCUCUCCCCUCAUCGCCCUUUGUGUGUCUUUUUUCUCCCAUGCCAUGUAGACAUAGAUAUAUAGCAACACAACCACACAGGAACACAGAAUAAUUAAGGCACACAGGUACACAAUCUACACAUACAGGUACAAUGUCAUACUAAUACACAAACAGAGACAUUUAGACUCUGUCAUAUAGAGGAAUACAGACUAGGGAAGUGCAUGGGAAAAAUAUUCGGUUCGGUUCAGCAUUCCUAAAUUUGGGACUUCAGCACUUGGGGACUUCGGCACUUCAGUGCAGCAAUUUGACACUUCAGGACUUCGGGAAAGGUUAGGGUUAGGGUUGGUUUAGGGUUAACUCUCCUGUUUUGCCACUUUUCAGAAAUCUGAAGCACUUCGGCACUUCCAAAAUUCGGCAAUUUGUCAAUUCGGCAAUUCGGUUUGGCAUUCGGCACAUCGGCAAAAUUUGCAUUCAGAACAAAAUUAAUUGUGCAUGUCUAAUACAGACACAGGCAUACAAAGACAUACAUACACAGUCAUAUAGUCAUACAUAUACAGACAUACAUAGCACAGGCAAAUCCAGGGCUCUAGUGGAGCGUAUGGGCUGGAAUUGGGGUGCUAGGAAAUGUAGUGGGGGCAUAGGGACUGAAGUAGGUUUAUGGCUACAAUUUUGGAAAGGGGCUGUGGUGUAAGUUAUAUGGGCUGCAAUUGGGGAAGAGGGGCUGUAGUGGGGGAUGAUAUGGGAAUGUUGUAAGGGUAUAGGGGCUGUAGUGGGGAUAUGGGGUGUAAAAGUGGGGUUAGGUUUGCACCUGGGGUGAUAGCAGCUGUCGUUGGAGGGAUGUGUAUUAGGGGAGUUAGGCGCUGUGGUAGAGGCAGCCAGGGGCUGUAGAGGGGGCGCAGGGGCUGAGAGAGGCAGUGGCUGAUAGAGGGGAGACAGGGUCUGAGAGAGGGGGGACAGGGGGUGGAGAGGCGGGGGCUGGAUCUGUAGAGGGGGGACAGGGACUGAGAGGGGGAUAGGGACAGAAAGGGGGGCAGGAUCUGUAGAGGGGGACAGGGGCUGAGAGAGGGGAGGCAGGGUCUGAGAGAGGGUAACAGGAGCUCUAGAGGGAGAACGCUAGUGUAGAGGGGAACCUGGGGGAUGGAGGGGUGGGCAGGAGCUGUGUAGGGGGAAGAGACUGAGAUGGGUGACAGGGAAUGAGGACAGAAGCUGUAGAGGAGUGCGCAUGGACUGAGAGAGAGGGACAGGAGCUCUAGAGGGGGGCCAGUUGCUGGAGAGCAGGGGCAGGAGCUGUAAAGGGGGCAGAAACAGAGAAGGGGGACAGAGUAUGAGAGGGGGUACAGGAGCUGUAGAGGGGUGCACAGGGGCUGAGAGAGUGGGACAGAUGCUCUAAAUGGUGGACAGCUGAUGGAGAGGGGUGCAGGGGCUGUGGUGUGGGGGGCAGAGGGGCUGCUUAAAAAGAAAAAACAAAACACAUAUUCCCCCCUCCCUGAGGCUUAUCUUGUGCCAGGGAGGGUGAGACAGAAGUUGCAGUCUGCAUUCAUUAUACAGGGAAGUUGGUCGACCUCUCCUGAUGAUGUCAGGAGGAGGGAGCGUGACUUCCACUGCUCUUCUCCCAGACUCCCCAGUGGAUGGGAGAAGAGCAGUGAAACUAGUCACCCCCCAACUCCUGACAUCAUCAGGAGAGGCUGGCCAACUUCACUGGCUGUAGGAUGCAGGGAGACAGGUAAUUUGAAAAAUCCAAGUCCCCAGCCAGAGUCAGAGGAUUCAGAUUUUUGCACCCCCUGCUCUGGUGCCCUAAGGCGGCCGCCUGUGUCGCCUUAUGGAAGCGCCGGCCCUGUCUACAUGUCUGUGUGUGUGUGUGUGUGUAUGUGUGCCUGUAUAUAUGUGUCUCUGUGUGUGUCUGUAUGUGUGUGUGUGUGUUUGUGUGUAUGUGUGUCUGUAUGUAUGUGUGUUUGUGUGUCUAUAUGUAUCUGUGUUUGUAUGUGUGUCUACAUGUAUGUGUGCCUGUCUGUGUGUCUGCAUGUGUAUCUGUUUGUCUGCAUGGGUGGGGGGCAGGGAUGUAUGGGGUAGGUUGUAGAUGUAUGGGGUGGGGGUAGACGUAUGGGGUGGGGGUAGACGUAUGGGGGGGGGGCCCAAGGGCAAUUUUUGCACUGGGGUCCCGUAGUUUCUAGUUAGGCGAUCCUAAUUUUCUAUCCUAAUGUCCCUUUUUUCUAGGACCUUGUAUUCUUUGUGUGUCUGACUUUAUAACAGAGCUCCACAACAAUAGUACUCAUGGUAAAGUGUCUUUAAACUACAGUAAAUGUGUUUAGAAAUCAGUCUGUGUGAAGAUAAGUUGUGCCAGAUACAAUGUUUUUUUUCUAAAUUACAUCUUUGAUACAUAAAUUGUUAUUAGUAGGUCAGCUAAGAUUUCUAAACCCCAUCCUCAACCACACCACCACUCAGAUUCCUAAAAUUUAAAGGGACACUAUAUGAUUCAAAACAACUUAGGUUAAUGAAGCAUUUUGGGUGUGUAUAUAUCAUGCCCACUGUUCAAUUCUGUUCAAUUUAGGAGUUAAAUCACUUUUGUUUCUGCAUAUCCAACCUCAGUCAUACCUCCCUUGGCUGUGACUCACACAGCCUGCAUGGAAAAAAUGGUUUCAUUUUCAAUCAGAUAAUAUUAACUUCCUAGUAUAUGUAGGUGAUGGAAGUGCACUCAAGCCUUCGUCAUGGAAUUCAAGGUGCUCCAAUGGAUAAGUCCCAGUACCCAAAAAAGGACCAAAUAUGGAAUUGAAUAUAGAAAGUAAUCCAGGCACUCCAGCGAAUUCCAAAGUAGAGGCAAUUUUUAUUGGAACAAGAAACCAAAAAGCAACGUUUCGACCCUUAAGGGCCUUUGUCAAGCUUGUUUAAAUAGAAGUUCUAUAUUCAGUAUUAACUUCCUAUAGACUUUUUUUUAUAAUUUGUUCACUCGCAACCUUUUUUUUUUCCAUUUCCACAUGCUUGAGCCAAUAUGCUUGCCAUAUGUAUUUUCUUUUUUGACAACAAUAAAUGUGCAUUAUUUUUCUAUGAUUUUAUCGUGAUACAUUUUGGGGAAUUACCUACGAGUGCCAAGUUAAAAGAUCUGCAGUGAUUUGUUGCAGCUGAAUUCUACUUUGCCAAAAUCUUUUGAUCAGGUAUUGAAGAAGUGCUUUCCCAAGCAGAAGGGUAUUGCCCUUAAAACUAAAUAGAUAAAGAAAGGGUUUUUACUGUGUGGUUGUCCUGCUAGCUUGGGCCUUAUAUAUCAUUAUGUGCUGAUAGAUAAUUACUGUAUAACUUACCCUGCAAGACUCAAUUUCAGACUUUCUCGAGCUGUGGUUAGUUGUAUAAGGAGACUUUUGGAGGUAUUGCGUUAAUGUUGUGUGCCGAAUUUGUCAUAACUGCAAAAGAUUAUUAGUGGCUGAUGGUGGUUUCGCCGAAAGAGUUGAAAAGAGGUUAGAAUACAUCAAAGUUGAUAUGGUUGAAUGGAGAGACGGGAGGUCAGUGGGUAGUUAUCUUAUAUCAAGAGAAUUCAAGUUUUUGAUAAGAAAAGUUUGGUUAGUUUUAUAUAGUUGGGUGUAGUUAACAGUAAUAUUACAGUUCAGCAAAAAGUGAUCGGAAAGUAGGAAAGGUGUUUUGUUUUUUGUAAGUUAAAGUUUUAUUGACAUUCAGCAACAGCAUGAAAAAUCCAAGAAAAAAAGCCACGCAUGUCCCUAAUUAAUAUAGUUGUCUUUCCUUUUCUUGUUUUUUGUUUUUUUGUUUUUUUGCUUUCAGUAUAGCCACGCAGGACCAUUUAGGAGUUAACCAGUGUAAGCCUAAUGGUGACUAUCUUAGACAGUAUCGCAAAGAACGUUGCAGACAAAACCAUGGAAAAUGAAGAGAGAAAAAAAUAAGUCAUAGCAGCGAAACUCAUCUGCGGAACCACGAAUUGGAGUAUGAUCCACAGCGGUCAAGAUAAAGUUAGUCAGGCCACCUGAAUCUGUACAACUCUAUUUCACAAAGUAAUAAUCAUUAAGCCGUUAACUGGUGCUAGUACUCCCCAGGGCUUGGCGUGAACCCACUCCAGUAUUGGAAGCAUUGGCAACUAGGACAGGUGGUUUAGAAAGGUUACAAUUAGCUACAGGAGAUCAGUUAUAGCUUAUCAAUAUAUACAUAAAGGGCCAAGUUCGGGUCUCUGUGAGAGCAACACAAUUUAGGAGAUCAGAAAUAAAUAAUUUGAGACAUUAGGCACUACAUGGCAACUGCAUAUUUUUUAUAUAUGGAAUAGAAUAUGGAAGGCAAAAGUGUUGGGGUUAAACUGUUGCAGUGCAGGGGUUAAACCAAAGCUUUAAUUCCAGUUUAAUUCCUGGAGGUACGAAGGUAUCAGCACACCCCUGCCCCUUUAACCCCUUAGACUAGCUAACUUAAUGAUUCUAACAGGGUUAUUCAGUAAUGUGAGAAUUUGUGGGAAUUCAGAGUCAAUUUCAUAUUUAUUGUCCAAAUAACCAAAGUGGAAAACUCCUCUAAGCCAGCAAUGCUUUCUGUGUGGCUACUCUGGCCUUAAAUUUGAAAUUCACUUUGCAUAUUCACUUUAGCAAAUAACCCUGUCAAUAUUUAUACAAUCUCUCAACACUGCACAUACAACAUAACUUUCAUUUUGAAUUGUACAAUUAUGGAAAAUUAAAUAUGUCCCAUAAAUUCCCACUUACUUUUCCAUUUGUUUUAGAACUGGUUUUACAUGACAGACAAAUAGAUGUUUCUGCCAGAGCUCAAUUCAGCACCUCUGUCUACCAGCAGCGGGACUUUAAAUCCUGCUCACUCUACUCUAUAGCAUUACAUUAUUAUUACAUAUAGUGUCUUUAUUUACGCAGUUACAUUCUCAAAAAUGCAGUCAGGUUCCUUGUAAAUAUUCACGAGCCAUCUAAUUUUUAUUGAUGUUAUCUCUCCAAUAUUUCUGUUUUGGGUUAAUAAAUUAACAAAUAAAUAAUAACACCUCCUAUGUACAUAUUUUUAAAGAAUCCC